ensembl:lncRNA
GCCAAGCUGCCACCUUCUUCCUGUGCAUCUUUGUGAAUCAUAGCUUCAAGAUAGUCAACUAAAAAUGUAUCUUUCACUGUCAAGAAGCAGUUUUACAUGAAAUUAAGAAUUCUUAGCUUUGCAAGUUUGAUACAUCGGCCUAAGAUGGAAAUCUGAGCCAACUUACUAUCUUCGUUCAAGAAUCUGCAGAUUUUGAUGCCAAGCGUAUUUCAUCAGCUUUCUACAAUUCUGGUGAGGAAUGAAACAAAGGAGACCAAAGGAGCUGAAUUUGACCUCUGUGGAUUCAGAUUCCACCAUGAGUGUGGGGCUAGUCAUGCUGGCUGCCACUGUCUCAGCAGAGAGGCUGAACAAAGAGGACCAGUAGGCCAGGCAGUGUCAGGCCUUGUAGACAAUGCUGUUCAUGACAUGUGGGCAGGUCCAGUCACUACAUAAGGAUCUGAAGCUGACCUGCUGGGAUGCCCUCUCCUGUUCACUGGCUCCCUCUCCAUUACCAGACAGGUCCUGGUUAGACACUUCCCUGGCCAGCUGAGCUUCAGCCUAACAAGAUCUUGCUCCUCGACUCCUGACUGCAGGAAACCUUCUUGGGAUCUCAGGCAAGCUCUUCCUGUGCCAAGAGCAUUGUGUUCUGUCCUCUAAGAGUUAAACAAAAGCUGGUCCUCCCCCACCCCCAGGUCACCUAUUAUUCAUCACAUGUAUAUGUACCACUGCCCAGGGUUUGUUUCUGUGGCUUCUGUCAGAACUGUCUGGUGGUGGGUGUGUAAAAUUCAUGCACCAACUCCUGUUUUAAUUUCACCACCAAUUAGCUAAAUCUCCUUGGCAUCCUCAGAGGAAAAAUUUUAUUAUAAACCCUUAAAACAUUUAAAAAUAUCAACAUGAUCAUUUUAAUGCAUUAUUCAGUUAGUUAAAUGUGCUUUUAAAAAAUACCAUGAAAUAUAUCUUCAUUGUAAAGGCAUCUGUUGUUUCUUCAAAUGAUUAGCUGUCACUGAAUCAAUUUUUUGUGUGUAUAAGGCUAUUUGUUCUAAUUGAGGACCAUGCAUGAAGCUAAGUAAACUUACCACAUCUUGUAGAAACAAGGCUUUCAGUCCCGUGCUAACAGUCCUAAAUAUGCUGGAUGGCCAACCCCCACGAGUAGCAAGACCCAAGCUUGUGAACAGGAAUGUGAGGGUCCUGUGAUCUCAGGUCCAUCCUUGCAGGAACACUGAAGCCCACCAGGACAACAGAGGCAUCAGAAGUGGGCAUCCAGCCCAUGUCCUCUCCUGCCUGUUGCUACUCUGAUUCAUCAGAGAGGACUGUAUGCAGAGUCGUGUCCUGACAGUUCAGUGUUCUGCGGCUACUGGCUCAGGCUGGCUUAAGGGAGAUGCAGGACUACUGUGACAUGUGGGAAUCUGGGAGUGCAGGAAACAAAAGCUGGGAAACAGGGGCCUCCAGAAACUGGGAUUCCCCCUCAGCUGUUUCUCUGAGAGAUUCAUUCUCAUCUUCCAGGCUUCAGAGCACAGACAGUGGGGAGAAAUAGUGCCGAGAGAGACAGUGGAGGAGAGGGAUGCACUUGGGGGAGCAGGGAAGGAGAAUGCAUGUUUACAAAGAGAUCUCUAUGUCAUGAAUGUUAUUUAUAGAGAAUAAGGCAAAAUUAAGAGUGAUGAUGAUAAUGAGC